rnacentral:rRNA from 1 species
AUGCUCGUAUUAAGGAUUAAGCCAUGCAUAUGUAAGUCUAAGUAUAAAACAGCGAGACUGUGGAUGGCUCAUUAAAUCAGUCAUAACCCACACCAUAUUUUACCAGGGAUAACUGUAGUAAUUCUAGAGCUAAUACCGUAUAAAAAUACUGUCCAAAAGGCAGUAGCAAUUAUUGAUCCUUCGAUUCCUAGACUGGUACCCAUUCCGGUCUUUUUUUGGCGAGUCACGAUAAUAUAGCGAAGCGUAUUAACUAGCUUAGACGCUGAUGAGUUCGGGUUUCUGCCCUAUCAACGUGACGGUACCUUAUUGGAUUACCGUAGUGAUAACGGGUGACGGAGAAUUAGGGUUCGGUUCCGGAGAGGGUGCCUGAGAAAUGGCAACUACUUCCAAGGAAGGCAGCAGGCGCGCAAAUUACCCAAUCUUAACACAAGGAGGUAGCGACGAUACAUAACGGCCCGGGUAAAAACCUGUGAUUGGAAUGACCGUAACUUAAAACGCUUAAGAAGGAACAAUUGGAGGGCAAGUCUGGUGCCAGCAGCCGCGGUAAUUCCAGCUCCAAUAGCGUAUAUCAAAGUUGUUGCAGUUAAAAAGCUCGUAGUCAGAAGUCUCGGUCUUCUAAUCAUGGUCUGUCGGGAGAUUGCACUGGAUAUGGGAUACCUAUUUCCCGGUUUGUUUAUCCUGCUCUUAAGUGAGGGGGAUACGACUGCCGGGUAUUUUACCUUGAGUAAAUUACGGUGAUCAAGGCAAGCGUUAGCGGUGAAUAUUUUAGCAUGGCAUAAUGAAACACGGGGUAUCGGUGAAGGGGAAACGUAACUGAUACUCAAUGAUAAAUGGAGAUUGUCGGGGAUGUUGGGAUUCCGUUGUCAGAGGUGAAAUUCUUGGACCGACGGAGGACUCACUGAUGCGAUAGCGUUCAUCAAGGAUGCUCUCAUCGAUCAAGAACGAAAGUUAGGGGAUCGAAGACGAUCAGAUACCGUCGUAGUCUUAACCAUAAACGAUACCGACCAGGAAUUUGAGGGCGUUACACGGAUGACUCCUCCAGCGCCUUGAGAGAAAUCAUGAGUCUCUGGGUUCUGGGGGGAGUAUGGUCGCAAGGCUGAAACUUAAAGGAAUUGACGGAAGGGCACACCAGAAGUGGAGCCUGCGGC